rnacentral:rRNA from 1 species
UGCAUGUCGAGCGAAGUUCUUCGGAACUUAGCGGCGAAUGGGUGAGUAACACGUACUCAACGUACCCUCUAGAUUGGGAUAGCGGUUGGAAACAGCCGAUAAUACCAAAUAUGCAUUACUUUCGCAUGAAGGUAAUGUGAAAGGAGCUUUACAGCUCCGCUAGAGGAGCGGGGUGCGCAACAUUAGCUAGUUGGUGAGGUAACGGCCCACCAAGGCAAUGAUGUUUAGCGGGGUUGAGAGACUGAACCGCCACACUGGGACUGAGAUACGGCCCAGACUCCUACGGGAGGCAGCAGUAGGGAAUAUUCCACAAUGGACGAAAGUCUGAUGGAGCGACACAGCGUGCAGGAUGAAGGCCCCAUGGGUUGUAAACUGCUGUGGUAAGGGAAGAAAAAGCAGAAGAGGAAAUGCUUUUGCCUUGACGGUACCUUAUUAGAAAGCGACGGCUAACUAUGUGCCAGCAGCCGCGGUAAUACAUAGGUCGCAAGCGUUAUCCGGAAUUAUUGGGCGUAAAGCGUCUGUAGGUUGUUUGUUAAGUCUGACGUCAAAUUUUGGGGCUCAACCCCAAACCGCGUUGGAUACUGGCUUACUAGAGUUAUGUAGAGGUUAGCGGAAUUCCUUGUGAAGCGGUGGAAUGCGUAGAUAUAAGGAAGAACACCAAUAUGGCGAAGGCAGCUAACUGGACAUAUACUGACACUGAGAGACGAAAGCGUGGGGAGCAAACAGGAUUAGAUACCCUGGUAGUCCACGCCCUAAACGAUGAUCAUUAGCUGAUGGAAAGUUCAUCGGCGCAGCUAACGCAUUAAAUGAUCCGCCUGAGUAGUACGUUCGCAAGAAUAAAACUUAAAGGAAUUGACGGGGAUCCGCACAAGCGGUGGAGCAUGUGGUUUAAUUUGAAGAUACGCGUAGAACCUUACCCACUCUUGACAUCUUCUGCAAAGCUAUAGAGAUAUAGUGGAGGUUAACAGAAUGACAGAUGGUGCAUGGUUGUCGUCAGCUCGUGUCGUGAGAUGUACGGUUAAGUCCUGCAACGAGCGCAACCCUUGUCCUUAGUUACUAACAUUAAGUUGAGCACUCUAAGGAGACUGCCCGAGUAAUUGGGAGGAAGGUGGGGACGACGUCAAAUCAUCAUGCCUCUUACGAGUGGGGCAACACACGUGCUACAAUGGUCGGUACAAAGAGAAGCAAACUGGUGACAGGGAGCAAACCUCAAAAAACCGAUCUCAGUUCGGAUUGUAGUCUGCAACUCGACUACAUGAAGUCGGAAUCGCUAGUAAUCGUAGAUCAGCUACGCUACGGUGAAUACGUUCUCGGGUCUUGUACACACCGCCCGUCAAACCAUGGGAGCUGGUAAUGCCCGAAGUCGGUUUAUAAACAAACUGCCUA